rnacentral:rRNA from 1 species
UAUUGGACUAUGGGCGAAAGCCUGAGCCAGCCAUGCCGCGUGCGUGUAGAAGGUCUGCGGAUUGGAAAGCACUAUAAGUUGGGAGCAAGGGCAGUCAGUUAAUACUUUGACGUCUCGCCGUUACCGACCGAUUUAGCACCGUCGAACUCCGUGCCAGCAGCCGCGGUAAUACGAAUGGUGCAACAGUUGAUCGGAGUUACUGGGCGUAAUGCGCGCGUAGGUGGUUUGUUAAGUCGAAAGUGAAAGCCCCGGGCUUAACCUGGGAACUGCUUUAAAAACUGGCAAGCUAGAGUAUGGCAGGGGGUGGUGGAAUUUCCUGUGUAGCGGUGAAAUGCGUAGAUAUAGGAAGGAACACCAGUGGCGAAGGCGACCACCUGGGCUAAUACUGACGCUGAGGUGCGAAAGCGUGGGGAGCAAAC